UACAGAGGGUGCAAGCGUUAAUCGGAAUUACUGGGCGUAAAGCGCGCGUAGGUGGUUUGUUAAGUUGAAUGUGAAAUCCCGGGCUCAACCUGGGAACUGCAUGCAAAACUGGCAAAGCUAGAGUAUGGUAGAGGGUGGUGGAAUUUCCUGUGUAGCGGUGAAAUGCGUAGAUAUAGGAAGGAACACCAGUGGCGAAAGGCGACCACCUGGACUGAUACUGACACUGAGGUGCGAAAGCGUGGGGAGCAACAGG
rnacentral:rRNA from 1 species